rnacentral:rRNA from 1 species
GAUGAACGCUGGCGGCGUGCCUAAUACAUGCAAGUCGAGCGAACGGACGAGAAGCUUGCUUCUCUGAUGUUAGCGGCGGACGGGUGAGUAACACGUGGAUAACCUACCUAUAAGACUGGGAUAACUUCGGGAAACCGGAGCUAAUACCGGAUAAUAUUUUGAACCGCAUGGUUCAAAAGUGAAAGACGGUCUUGCUGUCACUUAUAGAUGGAUCCGCGCUGCAUUAGCUAGUUGGUAAGGUAACGGCUUACCAAGGCAACGAUGCAUAGCCGACCUGAGAGGGGAGUCGGCAAACCUGAAAUAGGGCCACGGUCAAAAUUCCUAGGGAGGCAGCAGUAGGGAAUCUUCCGCAAUGGGCGAAAGCCUGACGGAGCAACGCCGCGUGAGUGAUGAAGGUCUUCGGAUCGUAAAACUCUGUUAUUAGGGAAGAACAUAUGUGUAAGUAACUGUGCACAUCUUGACGGUACCUAAUCAGAAAGCCACGGCUAACUACGUG